CUGAACAUAGGUCAACAUCAGAUACCAUUGGCUCUUCACUCAGAUCUGGAAUGUCUAGGCCUCAAUACCUCCUCAUGCAAUUGGAUCCUUGAUUUCCUCACUUGCAGACCGCAGUCAGUUUGGAUUGGCAGCAGCAUCUCCUCCACGAUCUCCAUCAGCACAGACGUAACUCAAGGCUGUGUGCUCAGGCCCCUGCUCUGCUCACUUUACACUGAUGACUGUGUGGUUAAGUAAAGCUCCAAUGAAUAAUAAAGUUUGCUGACUACACCACAGUUGUGGGCCGAAAUGAAGGUGGUGGCAAAGCAGCAUAUGCAACGGAGAUUGAAAAUCUGACUGAGUGGUGCCACAACACAACAAAAGAGCUGAUUAUUGCCUGCAGGAGGAGGAAACCAGAGGUCCAGGCUGACCUCAUCAGAUGAUCAGAGGAAUGUGGAGGAGAAACCAGAGCACCUGGAGAAAACACACGGUCACAUGGAAACAUGCAACUCCUUACAGACAGCGGCAGAUCAGAAGCUGAACUGAAAAGCAAGCAGAAAUUCCAUAUAUUAAGCAGAGGAUAAAAGAAAGUUUCUUCGGCAAACAUCAAUUGUUUGUUCCUGUUCAUAGAUGCUGGCUGACAUGCUGUGUUCCUCCAGCAUUUCGUGCGUGGUGUUCUUCAUUAUUCUUUUGUGUUCAAUAUGUAAAAAUGACCUCAUACAAGACAUGUAGUUUCUUCAAAGUUAGGAAAUGUGGGCAUAAAUGUACAUUUUCUCUUCUUCACUGGUUUAUAUUUCCACCAGAAUGUUCCAGUGCCAGUCUGGCAGAAUGACUCUCCAGUCCUCAGUAGUCACCCAUUAGACAAAUAACAAUUCUCCUGCUUUACAUUGUUGAUAAUUUGGCUAUCUCCAAUGUUUACUCUACUUUCUUCUUUAAGUGAUAUUGACAUAUAAACAGUAUAACAUUACCCUCUGCUAAUGGUUAGCAAGAUACAAAUUACUUUGUACUAUUUUUGUUAUCCUGAGUGAUGUCAAUGUUUCUCAUAAUUAUCCAACAACUGUAUAAGAAGGCCAAUUCUAAUCAAUUUAAGAAGAAAAUAAUGUAAUAUAGAAAUAAUUUAAUGCUUAAUGUUAGCUUUUGACUGCAUUACCCUCCAGAAAUUUGACUGCCAACAGAAAUUCACCUCCAUCAAGAAAGUAUGAAAGCCAUCAUCCUAACUAAUGGAUCUGAAAAAGAGCAAAUCUCGAUGAAUAUAGAACAUAGAACAGUACAUUAUAGAAACAGGCCCUUCUGCAUAUGGUGCCAUGCUGAACUAAUUAAAUUAGGAAUCAAAUGCCCAACUAAACUAAUCUCUUUUGACAUAUCCUUCCAUUUCCUGCACAGUUAUGUGCCUAUUUCAGAACCUCUUGAACAUUAAAAUUCAGUUCAAGUUUAAUUGUCAUUCAACCAUACAUGAAUACUGCCAAAUGAAACAGCGUUACCCUGGGGCCAAGGUGCAAAACACAAUACCAACAGUCAUACACAGCACAAAGCACGUACAACAUAGCAAGCACAUGUAAGAUAUCAGUAAAAUACAGCCACUCCAAAAAAAAGUCCAGACCCUGAGUCCAUGAUUGCCACAGAAAUCUGCAGACAACCACAAUACAGACUGCCUUCUGCUGAGCAAGCACUGGGAUGCAGCACCAACUUCAGCCAGGUGCCAUGUCACACACUGCAGCCUGGAUGCCAUGCCACAUUGCUCCUGGUGGAGCACAUUGGCUCUGACACCUCUCUCCUGGAGGCUGUAAACAGGCAACACUACGGCAUUAGGCCUAGUCCUCCUUGUGACUGAGACCACAGAGCUCCCACACCAUCAGCCCCUGCUGUCUGCCAAUAAAUCAGUGAAUUGGACUUGCAGAAUUCCAUAUUAACAAUAUCCAAAAGGGUCUUACAAUCACAAGAAAAGUGACUAAGACAGUCACUCGCUAUUAGACUGCACAUCUCCCUCCCACACCCACUCCCUGAUGCAAGCAGUAGCCCCUUCAGUUUCUCCACCAAUGAGCAACUCGCUCAUGGGAUAGAUCUGCAGUACUUUAGGUUCCUAAUGUCUAGCAGCGACCUGCAAUCAUAAUAAAUAAGUUUAAAAAGGACAGCAGCGCCCUUUGUUGACCUGUUAGAAGACACUGGGAUCAAACGUGCUGCCAUCUUACAGGAAGCAUCCUGCCAACACCGCCUCAAGCAGCGUUUUCCAGGCACCCACCACUCUGUGUAAAAAAAACCUUGCCUUGCACAUCCUGUUUGAACUUACUCCCUCUCACUUUAAAGCAUGUCCUCUGGCAUGUUCACUUCAGUUCAGUGUCUUCCCCAACCAGAAGCCCAGGAUGAACCAUUAGAUCUGCAAUCUGCUGAGGCCCAGAUUAGAGGCAUUCAGGUCUGGCAACCAAGUAAUAUACAAGAGAUCCGGGUACAGUCUCCUGAAAGCCACCUCACGGGUGAAGUGGCAAUUCCGGAGUAAAUCUGAACCAAUGAGGGAUGCUCUGCAGCUGUGGCUGGGUUUGAAUACUAUUAUCCCUUACAAAGUGAAACUGAGUGAUGUAGGUGACAACAGGGCUUCACUUCCAGGUGAGCUCAAUGCCCUCUUUGACCAUCAAAACAUGGAGAAACCUUCAUGAACUCCCACAGCCCUUGAUGUCCCUGUGAUUUCAGACUCUGAGGCCAAUGUGAGAGCAUCCUUUAGGAGAGUGAACCCACAGAAAGCGCCUGGCCUAGUACUAAGGACCAGUGCUGAUCAACUGGCUGGAGUGUUCUCUGAUACCUUUUGAUGCACCAGCAAUAACUCUCGGAGAUGUGAGGCGAGAGAUAGGCUUUUAUUAGCUGGAAGAUAAAGCACUAUCAGCAGCAAGAGACCAUCACACAGCAUCCUGGAGACUGAGGGAGGAGCAGUGCCUCCAAUCGCCUUUAUACAGGGGUCUGUGGAAGGAGCCACAGGAGCAGUCAGCGGGGAGGGGGGGCAUGUCCGGACAGGUAUAUGUAGUUCACCACAACUUUAACUUCUCGCAUCAGCAGUCUGCUUCAAACAGGCUACAGUUAUUCCAGUGCCUAAGAAGAACGUGGUAAUCUGCCUCAAUCUACAUUGAUGAAGUGCUUUGACAGGUUGAUGAUGAAACAUGUCAACUCUUGCCUGUAAAGCAACUUGGAUCCACUCCAAUUUGCCUGACAACAUGAAGCUCCCUCUGUGGGCUUGUAUAGAAACUUGGGCCAUUAGCCAGCUCGACUAACAGCCACUAGAUUCAACGGUCAGAAAGCCACCUUUCUCAAACAAUAUGCUUCUAGGGUCAGUAUAACCAAACAGACAAGUUGGUCUGUUUUGAUUAACGGGACCCCGACUCGAGUGAGUGUUGUGUAAGUACUGCUCAUGUACAAUUAUCAGAUCGUACACUGCAUACAAUUAUAAAGAAAGUGUAUUUACUAAUUUCA